rnacentral:SRP_RNA from 1 species
CGCCGGGAACUGCGCGGCGUAACGGCUCUCGAACCCCGCCAGGGCCGGAAGGCAGCAACGGUAGAGAACCGAAGCGUGCGACGCAUCCCUCCCGGCGGUC